AUGAAAACUAACCAUGCCCCUGGACCAGAUGACAUCCCUGUUGAGUUUUAUCAACAUUGCUGGGAGGUAGUUUCCCCGAAUCUAGUGAGCAUGUUUGAGUGGUUUUAUGAGGGCAAGCUAGAUGUACAGAGGCUGAAUUAUGGCAUUAUAACUCUGUUACCUAAGUCAUCAGAGGCCAAUAGAAUUCAGCAAUAUAGGCCCAUUUGUUUGUUGCGUUGUCCCUACAAAUUACUCACCAAAGCCAUGGACAUUAGGGCCAGCCAAUAUGCACAUAAGUUGUUCAGUGUGCAACAAAAUGCUUUCAUUAAAGGGAGACAUAUAGUUGAUGGCAUAUUAUCCUUGCAUGAGAUUUUACACUAUACUCAUAUCAAGAAGCAAGUGGGCGUAAUACUUAAGCUUGAUAUCGAGAAAGCUUAUGACAAAGUUAAUUGGGAGUUUUUACUCAAUUGUCAUGUGAAACGUGGGUUUAACUCCAAGUGGUGUGGGUGGGUUUCUCAAAUUCUUAUGAAUGGCACAGUCAGCAUCAAGAUCAAUGAUGAGGUAGGGCCAUACAUACAAAGUGCUAAGGGGGUGAGAUAG
rnacentral:rRNA from 1 species